GACGAACGCUGGCGGCGUGCUUAACACAUGCCAGUCGAACGGAAAGGCCCUGCUUUUGUGGGGUGCUCGAGUGGCGAACGGGUGAGUAACACGUGAGUAACCUGCCCUUGACUUUGGGAUAACUUCAGGAAACUGGGGCUAAUACCGGAUAGGAGCUCCUGCUGCAUGGUGGGGGUUGGAAAGUUUCGGCGGUUGGGGAUGGACUCGCGGCUUAUCAGCUUGUUGGUGGGGUAGUGGCUUACCAAGGCUUUGACGGGUCGCCGGCCUGAGAGGGUGACCGGCCACAUUGGGACUGAGAUACGGCCCAGACUCCUACGGGAGGCAGCAGUGGGGAAUAUUGCACAAUGGGCGGAAGCCUGAUGCAGCAACGCCGCGUGCGGGAUGACGGCCGUCGGGUUGUAAACCGCUUUCGCCUGUGACGAAGCGUGAGUGACGGUAAUGGGUAAAGAAGCACCGGCUAACUACGUG
rnacentral:rRNA from 1 species